rnacentral:rRNA from 1 species
AUGUCCACUACUUCAACCUGCGCAUUAUGUGGGGCAGAUGACUCGUGGAUGCACUCACUCCUCCUCUAUUCCAUGGCUCGAUGCGUGUGGGCGCUAUCUGAUGCGGAGCUCGUGGAACAUAUGCUAGCUACAGCCGAGUUAGACCCGAAAAAUUUGAUCUUUGCAAUGUCAGAAUCAGUAUCACAUGUGGAGUUCACUACACUGGUGGUGACGUUAUGGGCGAUCUGGAACGCACGCUGGAAGAAACCCAGCACACUAUCGCAUGCACCGGUAGUACACAGGACUUGGAUCCCACCUCCAGUCGGGCAUCACAAACUUAACGUAGAUGCGACAGUGGACUAGCACAUGCACACAUGCGCCAUAUCUACGGUGUGCUGCGAUGAUGCAGGUCUAUAUGUGGGUUCGUCAGCUCUUGUAUUAGAUGGCUUGACGUAUCCUACGAUUCUAGAAGCGCUUGCUUGUCGGGAGUCUCUAGCCCUGGCAAAGGACCUCAUGCUACAUCAACCGAGGAUUGCUUCGGAUUGCAAAACGGUGGUGACUGAUAUUCAUAGCAGCACGAAGGGGCCAAUUGCACCAAUAGUUCAUGGAAUUGUCUACUUCGAGUGA